CCGCCGGAGCACCGCCGUCGUUGUCAAGCCGAAGGUCGUCGCCGCUUCUUCCUCGUCGCCGUCGCCGUCCGUUGAGCUUCCGCCGCUGUUUUGGUCACCGGUGAGUUCGCCACGUCGCUCGCAUCAUUUUGGUGCUCUUCGUUAGCGCCGUCGUGUCAUCGUUCACCGACGAGCUUGCGCGCCCGAGCCGCCGCCGGUGAUGACGUCAUCGUCGCCAUGUCCCGUGGACCGGUCGUGGGCCGAUAGAUCCCAGCCGUUCGUUUUGGAUGGAUCGAUCUCGGCCGUUCGUUUCCGUGAGCCGCCGCCGUGCACCCGCACACGGCCCGCUACCAGCGACACUGAUUGCGCAUUACUACCCCAUGCCGACGAAAGGGAGGUGAUGGUGACGCGGUAGAUCGCCAAGUACCAGUACACCAAGAGAGGCAUCGACGAGCCGACACACAUAUACCUAAACACGCGGUCGUACAUGGAUCCCAUGAUGGAGUCGCUGAGGGAGAGGACGUCGAUGGUGUGGGAUGCGAUCAGCCUCCCUGAUGACAGCCACCUGCUGCACAUCCACAUGGCAAUAGAGCAGCUUGGUACGGGACAUUGACAAGCUGAGGGAGUGCAUGAUGGUGCGGAGCAGCGGCAGCGACGACAUGGAUGCAUGCAGGCUGGAGCGACACCUUGCCGGCGGGUGGAGGCAUGUUGUGCCGAAGCAGGAGCGCGUACGGAAGAACAUGUUCAAGGUGCAGCCCGACACUGUGACUAGGAUGUUGGUGUGGUUCCGGCCG
rnacentral:sRNA from 1 species